GAUGAACGCUGGCGGCGUGCCUAACACAUGCAAGUCGAGCGAAGCGAUCUGAUGGAAGUUUUCGGAUGGAAGUCAGAUUGACUGAGCGGGCGACGGGUGAAGGUAACGGGUGGGUAACCUGCCUCAUACAGGGGAUAACAGUUAGAAAUGGCUGCUAAUACCGCAUAAGCACACAGGACCGCAUGGUCCGGUGUGAAAAACUCCGGUGGUAUGAGAUGGACCCGCGUCUGAUUAGCUAGUUGGUAAGGUAACGGCUUACCAAGGCGACGAUCAGUAGCCGACCUGAGAGGGUGACCGGCCACAUUGGGACUGAGACACGGCCCAA
rnacentral:rRNA from 1 species